GAUGAACGCUAGCGGCGUGCCUAAUACAUGCAAGUCGAGCGAAGCGGUGACGGGUGAGUAACACGUGGCUAACCUCCUAUAAGACUGGGAUCACUUCGGGACAACGGCGCUAAAACGGGUACUUUUAGAUUGAUCCGCGCUGCAUUAGCUAGUUGGUAAGGUAACGGCUUACCAAGGCAACGAUGCAUAGACGCCCUGCGAGGGUGAGCUGCUACACUGGAACUGAGACACGGUCCAGAAUCCUACGGGAGGCAGCAGUAGGGAAGCUUCCGCAAUGGGCGAAAGCCUGACUGAGCAACGCCGCGUGAGUGAUGAAGGUCUUCGGAUCGUAAAACUCUGUUAUUAGGGAAGCGGUACCUAAUCAGAAAGCCACGGCUAACUACGUGCCAGCCGCCGCGGUAAUUC
rnacentral:rRNA from 1 species